rnacentral:rRNA from 1 species
GACGAACGCUGGCGGCGUGCUUAACACAUGCAAGUCGAACGGUGAAAGCGGAGCUUGCUCCGCUGGAUCAGUGGCGAACGGGUGAGUAACACGUGGGCAACCUGCCCCUCACUUCGGGAUAAGCCUGGGAAACUGGGGCUAAUACCGGAUAGGACCACUGCCUGCAUGGGGGGUGGUGGAAAGCUUUUGCGGGGUGGGAUGGGCCCGCGGCCUAUCAGCUUGUUGGUGGGGUGAUGGCCUACCAAGGCGACGACGGGUAGCCGGCCUGAGAGGGUGACCGGCCACACUGGGACUGAGAUACGGCCCAGACUCCUACGGGAGGCAGCAGUGGGGAAUAUUGCACAAUGGGCGCAGGCCUGAUGCAGCGACGCCGCGUGAGGGAUGACGGCCUUCGGGUUGUAAACCUCUUUCAGCACCGACGAAGCGCAAGUGACGGUAGGUGCAGAAGAAGGACCGGCCAACUACGUGCCAGCCGCCGCCGUAA